GACGAACGUUGGCGGCGUGCUUAACACAUGCAAGUCGAACGGAAAGGCCCUGCUUUUGUGGGGUGCUCGAGUGGCGAACGGGUGAGUAACACGUGAGUAACCUGCCCUUGACUUUGGGAUAACUUCAGGAAACUGGGGCUAAUACCGGAUAGGAGCUCCUGCUGCAUGGUGGGGGUUGGAAAGUUUCGGCGGUUGGGGAUGGACUCGCGGCUUAUCAGCUUGUUGGUGGGGUAGUGGCUUACCAAGGCUUUGACGGGUAGCCGGCCUGAGAGGGUGACCGGCCACAUUGGGACUGAGAUACGGCCCAGACUCCUACGGGAGGCAGCAGUGGGGAAUAUUGCACAAUGGGCGGAAGCCUGAUGCAGCAACGCCGCGUGCGGGAUGACGGCCUUCGGGUUGUAAACCGCUUUCGCCUGUGACGAAGCGUGAGUGACGGUAAUGGGUAAAGAAGCACCGGCUAACUACGUGCCAGCAGCCGCGGUGAUACGUAGGGUGCGAGCGUUGUCCGGAUUUAUUGGGCGUAAAGGGCUCGUAGGUGGUUGAUCGCGUCGGAAGUGUAAUCUUGGGGCUUAACCCUGAGCGUGCUUUCGAUACGGGUUGACUUGAGGAAGGUAGGGGAGAAUGGAAUUCCUGGUGGAGCGGUGGAAUGCGCAGAUAUCAGGAGGAACACCAGUGGCGAAGGCGGUUCUCUGGGCCUUUCCUGACGCUGAGGAGCGAAAGCGUGGGGAGCGAACAGGCUUAGAUACCCUGGUAGUCCACGCUGUAAACGGUGGGUACUAGGUGUGGGGUCCAUUCCACGGGUUCCGUGCCGUAGCUAACGCUUUAAGUACCCCGCCUGGGGAGUACGGCCGCAAGGCUAAAACUCAAAGGAAUUGACGGGGCCCCGCACAAGCGGCGGAGCAUGCGGAUUAAUUCGAUGCAACGCGUAGAACCUUACCUGGGUUUGACAUGGAUCGGGAGCGCUCAGAGAUGGGUGUGCCUCUUUUGGGGUCGGUUCACAGGUGGUGCAUGGCUGUCGUCAGCUCGUGUCGUGAGAUGUUGGGUUAAGUCCCGCAACGAGCGCAACCCUUGUUCACUGUUGCCAGCACGUUAUGGUGGGGACUCAGUGGAGACCGCCGGGGUCAACUCGGAGGAAGGUGGGGAUGACGUCAAGUCAUCAUGCCCCUUAUGUCCAGGGCUUCACGCAUGCUACAAUGGCUGGUACAGAGAGUGGCGAGCCUGUGAGGGUGAGCGAAUCUCGGAAAGCCGGUCUCAGUUCGGAUUGGGGUCUGCAACUCGACCUCAUGAAGUCGGAGUCGCUAGUAAUCGCAGAUCAGCAACGCUGCGGUGAAUACGUUCCCGGGGCU
rnacentral:rRNA from 1 species